GACGAAGGGUGCUAGCGUUGCUCGGAAUCACUGGGCUUAAAGCGCGCGUAGGCGGCUUGCUGAGUCAGGGGUGAAAUCCUGGAGCUCAACUCCAGAACUGCCUUUGAUACUGGCGAUCUCGAGUCCGGGAGAGGUGAGUGGAACUGCGAGUGUAGAGGUGAAAUUCGUAGAUAUUCGCAAGAACACCAGUGGCGAAGGCGGCUCACUGGCCCGGUACUGACGCUGAGGUGCGAAAGCUAGGGGAGCGAACGGG
rnacentral:rRNA from 1 species